rnacentral:rRNA from 1 species
CGGGUGAGUAACGCGUGGGUGACCUGCCUUCGAGCGGGGGAUAACGUUCCGAAAGGGACGCUAAUACCGCAUGACAUCCUGUCUUUCAAGAGAUGGCGAUCAAAGCCGGGGAUCGUAAGACCUGGCACUCGAAGAGGGGCCCGCGUCCGAUUAGCUAGUUGGUGAGGUAACGGCUCACCAAGGCUUCGAUCGGUAGCCGGCCUGAGAGGGCGGACGGCCACACUGGGACUGAGACACGGCCCAGACUCCUACGGGAGGCAGCAGUGGGGAAUUGUUCGCAAUGGGCGCAAGCCUGACGACGCAACGCCGCGUGGAGGAUGAAGAUCUUCGGGUCGUAAACUCCUUUCGAUCGAGACGAAUUCCUCCGGGGUAAACAAUCCCGGAGUUUGACGGUACCGAGAGAAGAAGCCCCGGCUAACUCCGUGCCAGCAGCCGCGGUAAUACGGGGGGGGCAAGCGUUGUUCGGAAUUACUGGGCGUAAAGGGCUCGUAGGCGGCCAACUAAGUCAGACGUGAAAUCCCUCGGCUUAACCGGGGAACUGCGUCUGAUACUGGAUGGCUUGAGUGUGGGAGAGGGAUGCGGAAUUCCAGGUGUAGCGGUGAAAUGCGUAGAUAUCUGGAGGAAC